GUGUCAGCAGCCGCGGUAACACGUAGGAGGCAAGCGUUAUCCGGAUUUACUGGGCGUAAGGCGCGUGCAGGUGGUUCGGUAAGUUGGAUGUGAAAGCUCCUGGCUCAACUGGGAGAGGUCGUUCAAAACUACCGAACUUGAGAACAGUAGAGGAAGGUGGAAUUCCCGGUGUAGUGGUGAAAUGCGUAGAUAUCGGGAGGAACACCAGUGGCGAAAGCGGCCUUCUGGACUGUUUCUGACACUCAGACGCGAAAGCUAGGGUAGCAAACGGGAUUAGAAACCCUCGUAGUCC
rnacentral:rRNA from 1 species